UACGGGGAGAGCAAGCGUUGUUCGGAUUUACUGGGCGUAAAGGGCGCGUAGGCGGUCAGCACAAGUCAGUUGUGAAAUCUCCGGGCUUAACUCGGAACGGUCAACUGAUACUGUGCGACUAGAGUGCAGAAGGGGCAACUGGAAUUCUCGGUGUAGCGGUGAAAUGCGUAGAUAUCGAGAGGAACACUUGCGGCGAAGGCGGGUUGCUGGGCUGACACUGACGCUGAGGCGCGAAAGCCAGGGGAGCGAACGGG
rnacentral:rRNA from 1 species